AUUGAACGCUGGCGGCAGGCCUAACACAUGCAAGUCGAGCGGAUGACGGGAGCUUGCUCCUUGAUUCAGCGGCGGACGGGUGAGUAAUGCCUAGGAAUCUGCCUGGUAGUGGGGGACAACGUUUCGAAAGGAACGCUAAUACCGCAUACGUCCUACGGGAGAAAGCAGGGGACCUUCGGGCCUUGCGCUAUCAGAUGAGCCUAGGUCGGAUUAGCUAGUUGGUGGGGUAAUGGCUCACCAAGGCGACGAUCCGUAACUGGUCUGAGAGGAUGAUCAGUCACACUGGAACUGAGACACGGUCCAGACGCCUACGGGAGGCAGCAGUGGGGAAUAUUGGACAAUGGGCGAAAGCCUGAUCCAGCCAUGCCGCGUGUGUGGAGAAGGUCUUCGGAUUGUAAAGCACUUUAAGUUGGGAGAAAGGGCAGUAAGCUAAUACCUUGCUGUUUUGACGUUACCGACAGAAUAAGCACCGGCCAACUCUGUGCCAGCAGCCGCCGUAACAC
rnacentral:rRNA from 1 species